UGUGCCACCGUCGCAGCAACGGAGGAAAUGAUACUGUACGGAUAGUGCGCUCACGAGCGCAUGAUAAGAGGCACUCGAUAAGGCUUCGUUCGCCGCAAUCAUUCAUGGACGCGAGCUUAUCGAUUGGAUGCAAUAGUGUAUCAGUGGGAUAGGUUAGGAAUUGCUCGGAAAUACCGCAUGAUAAUUGCUUCCCUGUUCAGGGUCCCGAGGUCAUCGCGCUCGGAUUGAAGCUGUUACGAGAUGCGAACAAUUCGUAUGUUUCACCAUAUGUUGCACGCAUCGACAAUUGCUAUGCUGUGUUUGGGGGAAGAGUGUCCACCGCUGCGCGAACACCAGCCAGCUUCGCAUGAUGAUGUCGUUUCCAGCCUUUGAUGCGUGGGAAAAAGAGAGUGUCAGACCUCGGUGGUACCAGCUGAUAUACAGUGCAUCGAAAAAUUGAACGUACAGCGAGGACUCUGAGAGGAAAUACGAAUAGAAAUUGAUGAGGUUUGGGUACUAGCGAAUAAUCUUUCGGAGCCGAAAUACAAUGGAGAGCAAUUCUAUUAUUCGCACGGACCUGCCUUGUUGUUUGCAGUGUUUUGUUAUUUUUUAGUGCUACGAUCAGACUGAGCAUUAGCAAGCGUCGGACGGCAUACGUUUGCGUGAGCUUGAGCUUGAGCUUGAGCUUGGGUAGACUGUACAAUUCGUAGUUGCUCUCCGUGAUUGACCUGAACCAACCAAAUUGCACAAAGAACACACAGAAUGACGCUUGGGACUAGCAAAUCAUUCUCGUUGUGCAAUUUUCGGUGAUUCGAGCUUUAAAUGGUCAAUAACGACGCCAGCCACGUCCUUACAGUCACCAGGGGAAGGGAAGGAAUGUUAGUAUGAUAUUCGCCGCCCGAAGGCCAGAAGGGUCGCCUCUAUAGCGUGGUUCCCUAGCGUUUAUCAUGGAAGGGAUAGUUGUUAGUGGGAAUGGUUAAGAAAAAUCAGGAUUCACUGCGGUAAGUGAUAUGAUUAUGUAAACGCGAACUAUUGACUACUUGACGAAACAAAAACUUCAUGUGUCACAACGCGUAGCAGAGAUUAUCUUUAGGUUACCUGAGAAGGAAAGUCUAAACAAUUUAUUGGACCAGCUAUUGUUAUUUGAUUAUUUAACGCAUCUUUUUAGUCGAAAUUUCAUCGCAGAAAAAUAACUUUGGGAAACUUGAGAAGGUAACCGAGAGAACUCCUCCAAGGCCAAUCGACUCGGCGAUAUGUUUCGCUGUUCAUCACGCCUACUUCGGGCCUGAUCACGAACAUCACGGCGAAAACGAGAUGAAGUGUAUGAAACCUUCCAUAUAAAUCUUCUCGCUCUCACCGUGAAGUGACGCUCGUAAUCAGGCUCUCUGUAUCGCAACUUUAAUUUAGUUAUUUUUGGAAAACCUGAGAAGGUCACCGAAAAAAACCUCUCUAGUAACAAUCGAGUCCUCCCGGUCACCCCAUCAGGCCCCUUGCAAUGACAUCACUCGCCGUCACGAUUAUGAAUCUAAUCGCGACGGCGGAGGGCCUUCUGCAGGAAACCCGAGAUUGCAACCGAGAGAACCUCUGUAACCAAUCGACCCACCAUAUAUUCCGUUAUAUU